AUUGAUUCAAACUAUCUAGCUAAACUCCAUCCAUCAACCAAUAUACAAAUUACUCAAACCAAUACAAAAUAAACAGUGAUGAAGACAACAUUGUUAGCUUUUGUCCUUUUCUUUGCCCUGAUCUCACAACCACUUCUGGGAGCUGCUGAAGCUUCACCUGAAGAAGUAGUUGACACAUCAGGCAAGCUGCUACGUGCUGGUGUGAACUACAAUAUUCUUCUGUCCAUGCCCUACACCAAUAGUAGAAGUCCAAAAGGCCUUGGCCUCUCAAAGAUUGGUAAAUCAUGCCCUCUGGAUGUAGUGGUUGUGGACAGAUAUCAUAGUUUGCCACUAAGGUUUAUACCUGUUAACCCGAAAAAGGGUGUUAUACGUGUCUCCACUGACCUAAACAUCAUGUUCCCUCCUAACAUCACUUGCCCUCACCAUUCCACGGUGUGGAAGCUUGAGAGUUUUCAGGUUUCUAAGGGACGCUCACUAUCGUUGGUUUCAACCGGUGGUGUUAAGGGCAACCCUGGUCGGGAAACCAUAGGAAAUUGGUUCAAGAUUGAGAAGUACGGUGGUGCUUAUAAACUGGUUUAUUGUCCCAGCGUGUGCCCUUAUUGCAAGCGUGUUCAGUGUGAGAAUGUUGGAAUGUUUGUUGAUGAGAAAGGGAAUCACCGUUUGGCUCUAAGUGCUGUUCCAUUCCAAGUUAAAUUCGCCAGGGCCUAACCAUAGUUCCUCUUGUUGCGCACCAACAACUAAGUGUUUAACUGUUUCUGAUAAUAAGGUGUUCGUUCCAUGUUAAUUUGUGAGGAUACCCUAAUUAUAGGUGAAAUCCUUGUUAUGAAAUAAAUAAGUACUCAAAUAAUUAAACACAGAAUAUCCACUCCUUUAAUUACAUGCCAAAAAUGCUUUAUUACCACUUUGCUUAAGUCUGCAUUAGGAUGAUCCUGCGACUGUGUGUUGAUUAUUGAUCACUUCAAAACCAUUCAUUCCAUUCACAAUUCACAAGUUAUCUUUGUCCUCCAUUGAUUUUCAUUCAAUAAUUGUUUACAUGUGGAGCUUGAUAUUAAAUAGUAGAAAAUUUAUAGACAUAGGAAGGAAAGUUAUUAAGAAAGUUCAUGUAUAGUAAAGAUGAGUAACAGUACAUUUCCCUGGCAGCCCUAUGUAUAUUAAUGAAUGGUAGCCCUGCAGGAAGAGGGAGUAUGAUUAAUGUUCCUCUCCUCUUACUGGCAAGAGGUUUAUUGUAAGAAAAGUUGUAGGUAUUUGUUCAUUAAUAUUUAUUGUUACGUUGAACACUUAUCAAAGUAAAACAUCUUGUUAAUUAUAGAAGAGGAGCAUGGUAUUGAAUCUAAUUCAUCAAUAGGAAUUGUGUCUAAGUGCACAGUUACUUUUUUGUCUUUUAGAUGUGUCUAAGAUAGGUAUAUAUGUCUUCCCUUGUUAGCUAAAAUAAUUUAGAAAUGAGAAAACUAACUAUAAAAAUGAAAACAAAGACAAAACUUGAAAGGCAGAAUAUACAUCAAAUCUUAAUCAAUCAUAGUUUUUGGGAUUUGAAAGGGGAAUUAUAAUGCAAAACUAAAUAGAGUGGUGAUACUCAGGUUGGAUUGUUUGUGAGGCUAGAUAAAAUUAAUAAUAAAAAGAAAGAGAACAACAUAAAAGAACCUGUAAAAAACUUGCAUGUCAACAUUAAACCUGUGUGUAUUUUAAGAAAGAAUGGUUGUGAUUGGGAUGUGUUGAGAUGACUGUCUUCAUCUGUGUUUGCUUAAGGAUCAUCAUAUCGAAUGUCUUCCAUAACUUUUUAUCAAACCUUCAUAUGUGAUCUUCACAUGAUUCCAUUCCUUUUCUAAAGACACUUCUUCCAUCAUAUCAUCAUCGGUGGACAAAAUGUGAGUGUAGAUGUGUAUAAUCCGAUUCUAACAUCUUCACUUCUCUAUUCAGAUAAUGUAACAAAUAUUGUUUUCUAACUCUCCCAUUAAUUAACAUAAUGUGUCUAACCAAUCCUGUCAUGUUAUCACCCAGUACAAGUGCAAUAAGAUGACAAAGAACUUUGGCAGGGAAUAUAUAUUUCGAAAACUAGAAAGAAAUUGAAGGUUCCUUCCUUUGUUUAUGGAACCACUAUGGAAUACUUCCUCUUAGAAAGAUAAAGUGAGUCCCCCGUCGUGAAACUAUUGUUAAUCAUAAUUUAUCAAAAAUUCAUUAAAUUAGUUACAUAUUAUCAAAUUAAAUUCGUUAAAAACAUGACUAAACUUGAUUUAACAGAAUGCUUGAACAUGUGGAAAUCAAGGAUAUAAAAUUUAUUUCCUUGGAAUAUUUCAAGUUUGGUGGAACCCCUCUAAUUUCCUGAAGAUGCUUGCAAUCAUUCACAUCAAGAGAAAAUAGGUUGUUAAAUUCUUUGAUGCAUUCAAGAAGGAAUGUGACAUUACUUUCCCUAGCCUUAAAUGACUCACUUGAGCUAACAACUUGAAACUUGUUGAAAAAAUAAUCAUUAUUCAAGUUGCAAGAUAAAAGCCAAAACUUAUGUAUCUUUGGAGAUACCAUUGAACCCACUUUUUCUUCACCCUCUUCUGAUUUUACCCAUUGCCAUCCCUUGCCUUUAUAAAUCUAAAAUCAGACGAUUCAGGCAUUAAAAUAGUGCUACUUAACUGAACAAAAUCACAACUCAUCUGUAAUUCUUGGAGUCCAAUAAGAUUAUGAAGUAAAACUGGAAAGUCUUUUAUGGGAGGUUCAAACAAACUAAGUCCAAAGAUGGAUGCGGAUUGUGCUGCAUAUGUCCCAAGAUGCAUAUCUUGACAAAAACAUGGGAAUAACUCAACCCUUUGUAAGGUGAGGUUUGCACCCACUUAUAACUAGACAUGAAUGGUGGUCCGAUAGCGACCUGAUAGCGGGUAGAACAACAUGGCCAACAACAACAAAUAUCGCUAGGAUAGACUCUAAUCAUGGCUCUGAUAUCAUGUUAGAAGUGGACUUUAAGUCUAACUCAACCCCACAAAACCGGCUUGUAAGGUGAGAUUUGUACCCACUUAUAUACUAUGAAUUGGCCUUAUCUCUAGUCAACGUGAGACUUCCAACAUAGUCGAUAGGAAGAGCUUCACCAAAUCUUUUUCGUGUGACCUUUUGCACCCACUUAUAUACUAUGAAUUGGCUUUAUCUCUAGUCAAUGUAAGACUUCCAACAUAGUCAAUAGGAAGAGCUUUACCAAAUCUUUUUCGUGUGACCUUUUGCAAAGUGGGGAUGAAUAUUUUGGGUGCCUUUGCUUUAGGCAAGGGACAUGUGAAGUUUCUUGUAGUUGAAAUCGACUACUUCAACAAAUGGAUAGAGGCCGAGCCCUAGUUACUAUCACGCUCAAUAAGUUCAAUGGUUUGUCUGGAAAAAUAUAGUUUACUGUUAUAGAGUCUCGUAUACCGUCAUCACUAAUAAUGGAUGUCAGUUUAAAGAUAAGGAGUUAGCCAAGUUCUACAUGGGACUCGGGAUAUGGGGACAAGUAUAACGCUUUACAAAUUAACUUAAAAGCCUCGAUGCAACCGCAACAGUUAUGAUGUAGCUGUGUCAAUGCUACAUUCAACUGCCUGAGGAUACCUAUGGUGAAUUCAUCGAACGGGAUCUAGACUCUAAAAAGUGUUUACAUAUACUGGAGAGAUGUAAUAAAUUAUUCAACACCUUUAUUAUGUUAUUAUUUCAAUUUAAAAAGACAAUGACAAAAGAAAGAAACUUGCCAUAUUCUAACAUGUAAUGGAUAUGACAUUUCAUUUUAUGAUUAUUGUAUCUUGCAGCGUAGGAUUUCUUACUUUCCAUAAAUAUAUUUCUGUGACUGGUCACGUCUGUUCUUCCGUGUAACUUUCAUUAAUAUAUAUAUUUUCCAUAAAUAUAUGUAUAAGAUUUUUCUCAUAUAUAUAUCUCCAUUAAGCAUGGAUUUUGAAUACAUUAUUCAACGUUUUAUUCUCCCUAACGUUCUUGAAUACUAAAGUGUCUUUCCACUUUUCCAAAUUUUAAUUCCUGAGAAAAUUUAUUAUAAAACUUAAGACAUAAAAGUGAAGAUAUUUCUUCAUUUUAUUAACUUCUUUUAACAUAACAUGCAUUCACAAUUAACUUGAUAAAAACACUGAAUUAAAACAAAACACACUUAUUAGUUUGUCAGACAUUAAUUUGUUCAGGCAAGCUGAAACUUGACUUUGAAUGGAACAUCGCUUAGAGCCAAACGCUUAUAGGCCUUUUCAUACAGAAAGAGGCCAACAUCUUUGCACAAGUGCUUGGAAUAAGGGAACAGAGUUGGACAAUAAACAAUUUUGUAAGCAUCUUCAAACUUCUCAAUCUUGAACCAGUUUCGUAUGGUUCCCCAACCAGGGUUUCCCACAGACCCACCAGUGGUCACAAACCACUGUCCUUUAGCAACAUCAAAGUGGUCCAGUUUCCACACUGGCGAAUACUUAGCACAUCUGGUAUGAUCGGUGGAGAACAUGAUGUUCAAAUCAGUGGACACACGAACAGUACCUUUCUUAGGGUCAACGGGUGAGAAUGACAAUGGCAAGCCACGAGACCCUCCCACAAACACCACAUCAAGAGGGCAUGAUGAUUCACCAAGGCUGGCAAGUGAAAGGCCUCCACUUUUGAAGCAUAUUCCGUACCUUGAGCAUCCUAUAUAGGGCGUAACGGGAACAAUGUAAUAUCUGAGACCAACUCGGAGCUUUUUCCCUGAUGUAUCAACCACUUGCUCAGGUGAUGCAUCUGCUGCUCCAAGUAGUGGUUGAGAGCUCAAGGCAAAGAGAAGCACGAAUGCCAGCAACAGGUUCUUCAUUACUGAUAUAUCUGUAUAAUUCAGGUAGUUAUGUUCUUGUAUUCUUUUUCGUCACUGAUGGAUGGACCAUAAUAGAGAUGAGAAGUACGAAUUUAUAGAUGUCUUUAUUUAAUACUAAUUCCACGAUUUAGAUGCUUGAUUGUUAGUGAAAUAGAAACAGUAUAUAUUUUCUUUCAAUAUUUGAACAAUACCAUUGGCCAUAUCGAGUUCAUAUCUGAAAUCUUGUAGCCAUGUUUAUCUAUGUGUAAACAGGCUUGCCAUAUCAGUGUUCUUUGUGGUCUUAGCAUUUUAUUUGUAACUAGCUGGAAUCCAUUUUUGCGUCUCUCUAGGUGAUGGAUAGGUUUUUAGAACGAUAAAUCUUUUCUUAUUUAUUCCAUGGUAUUUCGCUCAUGUAAUUCAUGACUACAUUAAUUGACUUUUUCAACAUGCAGCAAUCUGUGGGUCAAUGUUUAAACAUGCAGCAAAGGUCAAUGAUUGAAAAACCUUUAUCUUUCUGCUGGCUUUGUAAUUAGACGACUUUGACUUCGAAUUUAAUUCAAUGUGAAUUACAAAUCUAGCUACAGUCUUAUGUGACAUUAAAGUAGUUCAAAGUUUCAUGCAGUAUUCUUAAAUAUAUAGUUUCAAAGAUAUCCAAAAUAAGAAGAAAAGAAGGAAUUAUUUGAGCUAAUAUACAUAAUUAAUAUCAUUUAAUCCAUAUCAAUAUGAUAUGUCAGUGAUAAACAAAGAAACGAGUAAGAAAUUUAUAUUUUUUUUUCUUCUUCAAAAUGUUGUACAUUUUCAUAUACAUAGAAAAAGGGUUAAGGUUUAUGUUUAAAAGAAAAAGUCCAUCUCAGAAGCAAGCUCAUUGAUGCUGACUGAUUGCGUAUACAGUCCUCAGAUAUUUAGACAGCGCUAUCAGAUUUGAUAGCAACUAUUAGAUAUUAUAAUUGCUACAAUACAAUCUCGUGGAAAGGAAUACAGGCAAAUGAUAUUUGUUUUGGAGAAAGAAAAAACAUAUUAAAGCAGGCCAUGGCUUAAACAGGAUUAGACUUUCCGGCAGAAAAUAUUCAAAUAAUAGCAACUAAACUUAAACUUGCUCAUUUUUAGUGAAUUUCUUAUGUUAAUGAAAAUAUGGGUCCAACAGUAUUAAGCAAAUCAAAGAUCUUAUUUACAUAAUUGUUGAUGUUUAUCCUGAACACCAUGCAUAAGAACCAACCUAUAAAUUCAUGCAAAACCAUCUUCCUAAACUCCAUCCAUCAACCAAAAUACAAAUUACUCAAACCAAUAAAAAAUAAACAGUGAUGAAGACAACAUUGUUCGCUUUUGUUCUUCUCUUUGCCCUGAUCUCACAACCACUUCUGGGAGCAGCUGAAGCUUCACCUGAUGAAGUAGUUGACACAUCAGGCAAGCUGCUACGUGCUGGUGUGAACUACAACAUUCUUCUAUCCAUGCCUUACAGUAAAUGUAGAAGUCCACAAGGCCUUGGCCUCUCAAAGAUUGGUAAAUCAUGCCCUCUGGAUGUUGUGGUUGUGGAUAGAUAUCAUAGUUUGCCACUAAGGUUUAUACCUGUUAACCCGAAAAAGGGUGUUAUACGUGUCUCCACAGACCUAAACAUCAUGUUCCCUCCUAACAUCACUUGCCCUCACCAUUCCACAGUGUGGAAGCUUGAUAACUUUCAGGUUUCUAAGGGACGCUUUGUGUCAACUGGUGGUGUUAAGGGCAAUCCUGGGAGGGAAACCAUUGGAAAUUGGUUCAAGAUUGAGAAGUAUGGUGGUGCUUAUAAACUAGUUUAUUGUCCCAGUUUGUGCCCUUCUUGCAAGGAUGUUGUGUGCGAGAAUGUUGGGAUGUUGGCUGAUGAGAAAGGGAACCAUCGUUUGGCUCUAAGUGCUGUUCCCUUCCAAGUUAAAUUCCUCAAGGCCUAACCACAGUUCCUCUUGUUGUGCACCACCAACUAUGAAUGUUUUCAGUGUGUUUCUGAUAAUGAUGUGUGUUCUUUACAUCUUAUUUUGUGAGGAUAUAUACCCUAAUUUAUAGGGGAAUUCCUUGUUAUGAUGAAUAAGUAUUGAAAUAAAAUGGAC
rnacentral:lncRNA from 1 species